CCAUAUCGGCCAAUUCUGGUGAAAUGUAGUGAACGUGAGUAUCAAUCCCACCAGCAGUAACAAUCAUACCGUCAGCAUUCAUUGCUUCAGUACUUGCGCCGAUAACAAAAUCAACGUUAUCCAUGUUGUCUGGAUUACCGCUCUUACCAAUUCCGAUAAUCUUUCCAUCACGAAUACCAAUAUCUGCUUUAUAAAUUCCUGUAUAAUCGAUAACCAAAGCGUUUGUGAUUACAAAAUCAACAACUUUAGGAUCUGACUUACGUAAUGCUGUUGCGCUUUGUCCCAUACCAUCACGUAA
rfam:Lactobacillus aviarius subsp. araffinosus DSM 20653 NODE_3, whole genome shotgun sequence.